rnacentral:miRNA from 1 species
UGACAUGGGACUGCCUAAGCUA